rnacentral:tRNA from 1 species
GGCCGACUAGCUCAGUUGGUUAGAGCGUCGUGCUAAUAAUUUGCGGGAGUGUCGUGAGAUUACGCGAAGGUCUUGGGUUCGACCCCCACGUUGGCCA